AAACCAGCACCUCAAGUGGUCAGGAGGAUUAUUGGGCCUAAAGCAUCCGUAGCCUGCUCUGUAAGUUUUCGGUUAAAUCUGUACGCUUAACGUACAGGCUGUCGGGAAUACUGCAGAGCUAGGGAGUGGGAGAGGUAGACGGUACUCGGGAGGAAGUGGUAAAAUGCUUUGAUCUCUCGAUGACCACCUGUGGCGAAGGCGGUCUACCAGAACACGUCCGACGGUGAGGGAUGAAAGCUGGGGGAGCAAACCGGAUUAGAAACCCCAGUAGUCC
rnacentral:rRNA from 1 species